UGUAGGCCUAGUAUAUUAGUAGUAGCCUAGUAGACCUACAUUCUUAGAAAUUAAAUGGUACGAGAGAAGAAACGAUCUACAUUUUAGCGCACUAGACCGCGAUGUCUUCAAGGGUUGAAUGAAGGGAGUUUGCAAAAAUGUGCGUAUUUUUCCAAGUCAAUAAACA